rnacentral:rRNA from 1 species
GAUGAACGCUAGCGAUAGGCUUAACACAUGCAAGUCGAGGGGCAGCACAAGGUAGCUUGCUAUCUGGGUGGCGACCGGCGCACGGGUGCGUAACGCGUAUGCAACUUGCCCUAUACAGGAGGAUAACCCGUCGAAAGACGGACUAAUACUGCGUAUGCUCACAACUUGGCAUCAAGUGGUGAGGAAAGAAAUUCGGUAUAGGAUAGGCAUGCGUCCCAUUAGCUUGUUGGUGAGGUAACGGCUCACCAAGGCAACGAUGGGUAGGGGAACCGAGAGGUUUAUCCCCCACACUGGUACUGAGACACGGACCAGACUCCUACGGGAGGCAGCAGUGAGGAAUAUUGGUCAAUGGGCGCGAGCCUGAACCAGCCAAGUCGCGUGAAGGAUGACUGUCUUAUGGAUUGUAAACUUCUUUUAUACGGGAAUAACAAGAGUCACGUGUGACUCCCUGCAUGUACCGGAUGAAUAAGCAUCGGCUAACUCCGUG